GAUGAACGCUGGCGGCGUGCCUAAUACAUGCCAGUCGAGCGAACAGACGAGGAGCUUGCUCCUCUGACGUUAGCGGCGGACGGGUGAGUAACACGUGGAUAACCUACCUAUAAGACUGGGAUAACUUCGGGAAACCGGAGCUAAUACCGGAUAAUAUAUUGAACCGCAUGGUUCAAUAGUGAAAGACGGUUUUGCUGUCACUUAUAGAUGGAUCCGCGCCGCAUUAGCUAGUUGGUAAGGUAACGGCUUACCAAGGCAACGAUGCGUAGCCGACCUGAGAGGGUGAUCGGCCACACUGGAACGGAGACACGGUCCAGACUCCUACGGGAGGCAGCAGUAGGGAAUCUUCCGCAAUGGGCGAAAGCCUGACGGAGCAACGCCGCGUGAGUGAUGAAGGUCUUCGGAUCGUAAAACUCUGUUAUUAGGGAAGAACAAAUGUGUAAGUAACUAUGCACGUCUUGACGGUACCUAAUCAGAAAGCCACGGCUAACUACGUG
rnacentral:rRNA from 1 species